UACUUCCAGAUCCAGCCAGAGGAAUUCCAGUAUAGCCAGAUCACCACGGAGGUAGAGUUAAUUUCCCAUUUCAACCCAGUCCCGGUGAUUAUUGGCAGCUCCAUUGGGGGCAUCCUGCUUCUCGUCGUAAUGGUCGGGCUCCUGUAUAAGUUCGGCUUCUUCAAGCGGAAUCGGCCCAUGACCCCGGAGGAGACCCCAGGAGCGGAGCCUGUGUCUGGGGGCCCGCAGGGAAACGGGGCCCCACCAGAGCCCACCUCUGCACAGGGAUCCACUGACCCCGAGGGGGUGUCAUGACACUGUGGUGGGGGGGGAGGACUGUGAGCCAGGACUCCUGGGUUCUCUCCCCAUCCAUGGGAGGGGAGUGGGAACUAGGGGUUAGAGCAGGGGGGCCUGGGAGCCAGGACUCCUGGGUUCUCUCCCCAUCCAUGAGAAGGGGAGUGGGGACUAGGGGUGAGAGCAGGGGGGGCUGGGAGCCAGGACGCCUGGGUUCUCUCCCCAGCCGUGGGAGGGGAAUGGCCACAUUUCUGAAAGUGUUUUUGUCUGAUUAUUUUGUUCCAGUUUCUGUUCUGCGGUUUUCUUUGUUUUUAAACCAGAGGAAAAAAAUCUUUGCCAGAA